UACGAAGGGAGCUAGCGUUGUUCGGAAUCACUGGGCGUAAAGCGCACGCAGGCGGAUGUGUCAGUCAGGGGUGAAAUCCCGGAGCUCAACUUCGGAACUGCCCUUGAUACAGCACGUCUUGAGUCCGGAAGAGGUGGGUGGAAUUCCUAGUGUAGAGGUGAAAUUCGUAGAUAUUAGGAAGAACACCGGUGGCGAAGGCGGCCCACUGGUCCGGUACUGACGCUGAGGUGCGAAGCGUGGGGAGCAAACAGG
rnacentral:rRNA from 1 species